rnacentral:ncRNA from 1 species
CAAUGCCACGCAGAAGAGUCCGGCCACACCAGGCCGGCGCCGACGGAGCAACCGCCCCGGAAACUCUCAGGCACCAGGACUGCGCAGGCUAG